ACCAGCCGCAAAACUUAAGCAAAAUAGUCUGUUUCGUUUGUGCUUCGUUUGUGCUGGUUUGUGCAGCAAAAAUGUUCGUUUGUGCUGCUAUGGUUUUUUAGUUAUGAACGAUUCUUUUAUAGGUCAUCCAGAGUUCACCCAGCCCCCCAUCUGCUCAGAAUGGACCCAAAAUGGUAGCGUUCGUUUGUGCUUCGUUAGUGCUGGUUUGUGCAGCAAAAAUUUGCGUUUGUGCUACUUCCGUUUCGGAGAUAUUAGACAUUUAUUUUAUAGCGAUGACGUCACCCAGCCCCCCACCGGUCUCCAAAUGGACCCAAAAUGGUACCGUUCGUUUGUGCUUCGUUUGUGCAGGUUUGUGCAGCAAAAAUGUUCGUUUGUGCUACUUCCGUUUCGGAGAUAUUAGACAUUUAUUUUAUAGCGAUGACGUCACCCAGCCCCCCACCGGUCUCCAAAUGGACCCAAAAUGGUACCGUUCGUUUGUGCUUCGUUUGUGCAGGUUUGUGCAGCAAAAAAAUUCGUUUGUGCUGCGAUGGUUUUUUAGUUAUGAACGAUUCUUUUAUAGGUCAUCCAGAGUUCACCCAGCCCCCCAUCUGCUCAGAAUGGACCCAAAAUGGUACCGUUCGUUUGUGCUUCGUUAGUGCUGGUUUGUGCAGCAAAAAGUUUCGUUUGUGCUGCUUCCGUUUCGGAGAUAUUAGACAUUUAUUUUAUAGCGAUGACGUCACCCAGCCCCCCACCGGUCUCCAAAUGGACCCAAAAUGGUACCGUUCGUUUGUGCUUCGUUUGUGCAGGUUUGUGCAGCAAAAAGUUUCGUUUGUGCUGCUUCCGUUUCGGAGAUAUUAGACAUUUAUUUUAUAGCGAUGACGUCUGGUAGCCCCGCCCCCUUGUUUACUUCCGAACGACCCAAAAUAGUGUCGUUCGUUCGUUUGUGUUUCGUUUGUGCUGGUUUGUGCUGCAAAAAUGGUACCGAUUGUGCCGGCUGCUACGGUUUUGCAGAUAUUACACAUUUAAUUCAUAGCGAAGACGUCACCCAGCCCCACGUCACUGUAUUUUGUCGCGAAUUUCAAGCUCCUGGAAUGCUCCUGAUGCAGGACGAAUACAAGGUCAUUAUAGAUCUCCCAGGCAUAUGCAGUCCUCCUGCAGUAUGCCACAUAAUGCCCGAGAGAAUCCUGGGUCAGUCCUGGUUCAAAGCCAAUGACUGCUCUCAAAGUAAAGGUCUUCUCUUUUAGCUCCAGACUGGAGGGAAAUUCAAGCAAGGCAACUUCCUUGCAACUGCUACCAAGAGUUUUGAAUGAAGACGGACACUGGGAAAGAUUUUCAAUUGGCCUGAGGCAGAGAGAGUCAGGAAGGCUGAGUCCCUCUUCAGCAGCAGUCUGAAGAGAAGCCAUGCCACAGGUCUGCAGGACAGCAACGUUUGGACAAACAAUGGAGAUGUGGCAUUGUGCAUCAAUUUGGAGAGCACCAGAGGUCAGGAGGACAGGUUUGAAUAUUUCCCCCAGCAGUUCUGCCCUCUGUGAGUAUACCUGUGGGUUCACACUCUGUGUUGUGAUGGUUUUCACCAGGUGGAGGAAUUGGUUCCCACAUUCAUAGUUCAGAACAGUCUUUUCAAAUGAAAAACUUUCACAGAAAGAACAGCAUAAGCAUUGCAAGACAGAAUCAAAUGCACAAGUAUUGAGCACAAACACUUUUGAUGUGCGAAGUUUAACAGGCUGUUGAUGGUUCCCGUUUUUCAACAAUGGUACCUUGACUUUUUUCCAGCCCACUUGUGUGUCAAUAUGCAGCCAUUCAGGACAAGGAGAGAGAUAUGAAGUUAUCUUUCUUUUUUUCGGUGGGACUGCUAAACCUCUCCAGUUUUCAACUGCACUGUCAGUAGAUGCAUCUGGCUCCGCUCCAGGAUGAGAUUUUUCUCCCCUUUUGUUUACUACUUCAGUUUGAGAAGUACUGCAGACAUUGUCAGGCUCUCUGACGGUCGUGGCAUCACACACAUCACCUUUUUGUUUUGCAGAGCAAAUCCGCAUGUUUCCCUCAAUGAAGGAAAGAUGACGAGCAACAAACCGGUCCACACGAAUGGGUAGGCUUUCAUGCUUGAAAAGGCCUUUUUUAUGUUUUUGAACUCUGCUUCAACAGCUGCGGAACUUGCAGUGAUGCUGGCGCUUUUGAAGAGAGGGACCAUUAUUGCUGUCCAGAGUGGCAAGUAACUUCCAAGUCUUGUUAUUUGGGGAAUAAUCUCAGGGAGGAAGUGGAUGUUGUCUCUAUCCCCAUCAGCCAUGGCAAGUGACCUGCUCUCCUCACAUAUUUCUGUCACCCACUCUCGGACAUUAGUCUGGAUGUGCUGAUUUAAUCCAUCACUUGGUUCUUGUUCCUCAACUUCCUCAUCUGAAAUGGGGACAAAUUCCUCUGCGAUUUGCGCUCUCAAGCAUUUCUUGCAGUUUUCUGAUGGGAUAGGGGCUCCAGAAUUGUCAUUACCCUCUGUCUCACUCAGUGCCGCAAUGGUGAUAGCACAAAGAAGUUCUUUUGCAUGUUGCAAACAUUGUGACUUAAGAAGCUGUGCUAUUGACCUAACAAAGAAAUCCGUAACACGAGGUCUUUUGUUUUUCAGGCAGUCCCAUCGGCAGAUCAUCUUAAUGCAGUGUGCUACAUCUACCCUGACAAAACAUGGGGUAGAUGUCCAGGUUGAUUCCCACGUGAAAUGUUAAAGCACUCAUUGAUGUAGCUCUUCAGAUCAGGAUGAGGGGUAAAAGCUUUGACUAGAGCUCCAAGAAUCGCCAGAGAAAAGUCACUCACUGCUUCUUUAGGAACAGAUGCACCUGCAUGGAUCCAUUCCUUCAGCCACUGUGUGAUAGCAUCAUGCUUCUCUGACAGCAUCUGCACGACUGGGACACUGGAGCUGGUAUGCCCUGUCAUAACGCCCUGAUACAGGAAGAUAUGGCCAGACAUAUUGCAGUUGCAUCAACACAUAAUAUUGGGUGGGAUUUCUUUAAGCUCUUGUACACGUGCAUUUGUGUUUGACUCCAAUAGUGACAGAAGAACUUGUCAAGUCCAAUGUCUUUGAUGCUGUCACUGUGAGGUGCACUGUAUUUUUCAACAUCUACAAUGAUAAAAUUGGAUUUUUGUCACCUAAUGCCAAAUCAUUUUUCUCUUGCUUUGCCUUGCGCAGGGUGGCAAAAUUUGGCAGGUGGCUUGGCUCAGGGUCUCCGAAGUCCAUCGAUUUAUUUUCCUGUGAUGUUCGCCAUACAUGUGUCUGUCGAUGGUCACUUCCCAGAAAAAGACGCUUUCUGUCACUCACUGUUAAAUCUUCGGAGAUAGUUGUGCAUUUGUCGCUUGAAAAAGUUGCACGUCUUUGUUUUUUGCCACCCUGUUGCGAUAUGUCUUACCGACCUGCAGAGGUCACUUGGCAUGGUAAUUAGUUGGAUAAUACAUGUGUAAGAAUUAAGGAGUUAUCAUGAUGUCAAGUGAAAAAGAAUAAAAUACAUGACAGGAGGUUAA